UACGUAGGUGUCGAGCGUUGUCCGGAUUUAUUGGGCGUAAAGCGCCCGCAGGCGGCUUGGCAAGUUUGAGGUGAAAUCUCCCGGCUCAACUGGGAGGGUGCCUCGAAAACUGCCAGGCUUGAGUCAUGGAGAGGGAUGUGGAAUUCCAGGUGUAGUGGUGAAAUGCGUAGAUAUCAAGAGGAACACCAGUGGCGAAGGCGAGUCUCUGGACAACACCUGACGCUGAGACACGAAAGCGUGGGUAGCAAACAGG
rnacentral:rRNA from 1 species